CUCUCUUGAGCAGGCACACACUCCCUUUUCUUGGGUGUGUACUUUUUGCUUUGUGAUACAUCUCUACACUUUCACUAUUUUCCAACUCAUCCUUAAAUUCCUUCUCACAACAGUGUCAAGAGCCUGGACGCCAGCCAGGAUUGAGGUCCUAUUGGUGUUUGGGGACCUCCCCAAGCCCACCAGUAUCAAUGGCAUAUGGUCUGUGGCAGUGAUUAAGGAGCAAAACACUUGGAACCCAUAAGACUCCCGGAAGGUGAAGUUAAGAGCUCCCAGACUCAUAAGGUUAUUAGAACAGCAAACUGGCACCCCAAAGAACUUUACGGAGACUUGCAACCUACCAACAAGUUGGAUGAGGGAUUAAAAUCCUUCAACAACCAACAACCCCAAGCGUCAAACUGAAGGAAACAUUCUAACCCUCACGGACAGACUGGAAGCUGGAUGGGGACCUGACUGAAGACAUCUGGAGAAUGAAAGUUAAGUACCAGCUUGGAUUUUUGUGCCCCUAGAUUAUUUUUGCAUUUUAAAAUAAGAAGCAUCAAAUUGCAUGUCUCUGUGUAAAAGUUCUAGCAAUUUGUUUUAAGGUGAACUUAUUUUGGCUUAAGGACUACAAAAAGAGAAGGUAAUUCAUAGGGAAGGAAGAAGAGAAAGAAAUGAAAAUUAGAGAAUAAGAUUAUUUUGAAUGACUUCAGGUAGCGAGGAGUGUGUGUUUGUGAGUGUGUAUUUGAGAGACUUACCUCAUGCCUGUGGGUCUCUCUUCUAGUAUCAGUGAGGGGAGGGAUUAUUGAAGAAGAAGGAAAAAAAAAAAAAAAAGAAAUCUGAGCUUUCUGGGAGGAAAUUCAAAGGAACCAAGAGCAAUUAAGUUCGUUCUGCAAGGACUAAAAUAGAGCAAGAGGAGAGAGGUCAAGGGAGAAGCGUGCAGGAAGCACACGAGCCGGGGAGGCAUAGAAGCCACGCUGGCAGAGUGGCCAGCACAGGUAGCCAGCAGAGGCAUUCUUGGGGCUAUUUGAAAAAGUUUGGUCUGUGAACAAAACAGUUUCCCUGGUGACUGCAAAUCCAUUGCUAGCUGCCUCUUUCUCAUCUGUCCAUCACUCUGGUGUGGUACCCAGAAGUUGACUUCUGGUUCUGUAGAAAAAGCUAGGGGAGGUAUGAUGUGCUUAAAGAUCCUAAGAAUAAGCCUGGCGAUUUUGGCUGGGUGGGCACUUUGUUCUGCCAACUCUGAGCUGGGCUGGACACGCAAGAAAUCCUUGGUUGAGAGGGAACACCUGAAUCAGGUGCUGUUGGAAGGAGAACGUUGCUGGCUGGGGGCAAAGGUUCGAAGACCCAGAGCUUCUCCACAGCAUCAUCUCUUUGGAGUCUACCCCAGCAGGGCUGGGAGCUACCUAAGGCCCUACCCCGUGGAGGAGCAGGAAAUCCAUCAUACAGGACGCAGCAGACCAGACACUGAAGGAAAUGCUGUGAACCUUGUUCCCCGAGACCUGACUGAAAAUCCAGCAGGACUGAGGGGUGCAGCUGAACAGCCAGCUGCCCCAUGGGUAGGGAAUAGUCCUACUGGGCAAUCUGAGCUUCUGGGAGGUGAUGACACUUAUCUUGGCAGUCAAGGAUCCAAGGAGUCUCUAGGUGAGGCUGGGACUCAGACAGGCUCAGCCGUGGCCACCACCACCACCACUGCCACCACCAUUUUCACAACCCCGAAGGAACCCAAACCAGAGACCCAAAGGAGGGGCUGGACCAAGUCCAGGCAGCGUCGCCAAGUGUGGAAGAGGCGGGCAGAAGAUGUGUGGGGAGACUCCGAUAUCUCUUUACAUUUCCAACCUUGGUCCAAGCAUUCCCUUAAACACAGGGUCAGAAAGAGUCUACCGGACAAAAGCAACCAAAAUGGUGGAGAGGACCCCUACCGGGAAGCAGAGACCUUUAACUCCCAAGUAGGACUGCCCAUCUUAUACUUCUCUGGGAGGCGGGAGCGGCUGCUGCUGCGUCCAGAAGUGCUGGCUGAGAUUCCCCGGGAGGCGUUCACAGUGGAAGCCUGGGUUAAACCGGAGGGAGGACAGAACAACCCAGCCAUCAUCGCAGGUGUGUUUGAUAACUGCUCCCACACUGUCAGUGACAAAGGCUGGGCCCUGGGGAUCCGCUCAGGGAAGGACAAGGGAAAGCGGGAUGCUCGCUUCUUCUUCUCCCUCCGCACCGACCGCAUGAAGAAAGCCACCAUCUUGAUUAGCCACAGUCGCUACCAACCAGGCACAUGGACCCACGUGGCAGCCACCUACGAUGGACGGCGCAUGGCCCUGUAUGUGCAUGGCACUCAGGUGGCUAGCAGUCUAGAUCAGUCUGGCCCCCUGAACAGCCCCUUCAUGGCAUCUUGCCGCUCUUUGCUCCUGGGGGGAGACAGCUCUGAGGAUGGACGCUAUUUCCGUGGACACCUGGGCACACUGGUUUUCUGGUCGACCGCCCUGCCACAAAACCAUUUUCAACACAGUUCUCAGCAUUCAAGCGGGGAGGAGGAAGCGACUGACUUGGUCCUGACAGCGAGCUUUGAGCCUCUGAACACAGAAUGGGUUCCCUUUAGAGAUGAGAAGUACCCACGACUUGAGGUUCUCCAGGGCUUUGAGCCAGAGCCUGAGAUUCUGUCCCCUUUGCGGCCCCCACUCUGUGGGCAAACGGUUUGUGACAACGUGGAAUUGAUCUCCCGGUACAAUGGAUACUGGCCCCUUCGGGGAGAGAAAGUGAUACGCUACCAAGUGGUGAACAUCUGUGAUGAUGAGGGCCUAAACCCCAUUGUGAGUGAGGAACAGAUUCGUCUGCAGCACGAGGCACUGAAUGAGGCCUUCAGCCGCUACAACAUCAGCUGGCAGCUGAGCGUCCACCAGGUCCACAAUUCCACCCUGCGACACCGGGUUGUGCUUGUGAACUGUGAGCCCAGCAAGAUUGGCAAUGACCAUUGCGACCCCGAGUGUGAGCACCCACUCACAGGCUAUGAUGGGGGUGACUGCCGCCUGCAGGGCCGCUGCUACUCCUGGAACCGCAGGGAUGGGCUCUGUCACGUGGAGUGUAACAACAUGCUGAACGACUUUGACGACGGGGACUGCUGCGACCCCCAGGUGGCUGAUGUGCGCAAGACCUGCUUUGACCCUGACUCACCCAAGAGGGCAUACAUGAGUGUGAAGGAGCUGAAGGAGGCCCUGCAGCUGAACAGUACUCACUUCCUCAACAUCUACUUUGCCAGCUCAGUGCGGGAAGACCUUGCAGGUGCUGCCACCUGGCCUUGGGACAAGGAUGCUGUCACUCACUUGGGUGGCAUUGUCCUCAGCCCAGCCUAUUAUGGGAUGCCUGGCCACACCGACACCAUGAUCCAUGAAGUGGGACAUGUUCUGGGACUCUACCACGUCUUUAAAGGGGUCAGUGAAAGAGAAUCCUGCAAUGACCCCUGCAAGGAGACAGUGCCAUCCAUGGAAACGGGAGACCUCUGUGCCGACACCGCCCCCACUCCCAAGAGCGAGCUGUGCCGGGAACCAGAGGCCAUGAGUGACACCUGUGGCUUCACUCGCUUCCCAGGGGCUCCGUUCACCAACUACAUGAGCUACACGGAUGAUAACUGCACUGACAACUUUACCCCUAACCAAGUGGCCCGAAUGCAUUGCUAUUUGGACCUGGUCUAUCAGCAGUGGACUGAAAGCAGAAAGCCCACCCCCAUCCCUAUCCCACCUAUGAUCAUCGGACAGACCAACAAGUCCCUCACUAUCCACUGGCUGCCUCCUCUUAGUGGAGUUGUAUAUGACAGGACCUCAGGCAGCAUGUGUGGCGCUUGCACUGAAGAUGGGACAUUUCGUCAGUAUGUGCACACAGCUUCCUCCCGGCGGGUGUGUGAUUCCUCAGGUUAUUGGACCCCAGAGGAGGCUGUGGGGCCUCCUGACGUAGAUCAGCCCUGCGAGCCGAGCUUACAGGCCUGGAGCCCCGAGGUCCACCUGUACCACAUGAACAUGACGGUCCCCUGCCCCACAGAAGGCUGUAGCCUGGAGCUGCUCUUCCAAUACCCGGUCCAAGCUGACACCCUCACCCUGUGGGUCACUUCCUUCUUCCUGGACUCCUCACAGGUCCUCUUUGACACAGAGAUCUUGCUGGAAAACAAGGAGUCUGUGCACCUGGGCCCCUUAGACACUUUCUGUGACAUCCCACUCACUAUCAAACUGCAUGUGGAUGGGAAGGUCUCGGGGGUGAAAGUCUACACCUUCGAUGAGAGGAUAGAGAUUGAUGCAGCGCUCCUGACUUCUCAGCCCCACAGUCCUUUGUGCUCUGGCUGCAGGCCUGUGAGGUACCAGGUUCUCCGCGAUCCCCCAUUUGCCAGUGGUUUGCCCGUGGUGGUGACACAUCUUCACAGGAAGUUCACGGAUGUGGAGGUCACACCUGGGCAGAUGUAUCGGUACCAAGUUCUAGCUGAAGCUGGAGGAGAACUGGGAGAAGCUUCGCCUCCUCUGAACCACAUUCACGGAGCUCCUUAUUGCGGAGAUGGGAAGGUGUCAGAGAGCCUGGGAGAAGAGUGUGAUGAUGGAGACCUUGUGAGUGGAGAUGGCUGCUCCAAGGCCUGUGAGCUGGAAGAAGGUUUCAACUGUGUAGGAGAGCCAAGCCUUUGCUACAUGUAUGAGGGAGAUGGCAUAUGUGAACCUUUUGAGAGAAAAACCAGCAUUGUAGACUGUGGCAUCUACACUCCCAAAGGAUACUUGGAUCAGUGGGCUACCCAGGCUUACUCCUCUCAUGAAGACAAGAAGAAGUGUCCUGUUUCCUUGGUAACUGGAGAACCUCAUUCCCUGAUUUGCACAUCAUACCAUCCAGAUUUACCCAACCACCGUCCCCUAACUGGCUGGUUUCCCUGUGUUGCCAGUGCAAAUGAAACUCAGGAUGACAGGAGUGAGCAGCCGGAAGGUAGCCUGAAGAAACAGGAUGAGGUUUGGCUCAAAGUGUGUUUCAAUAGACCAGGAGUGGCCAGAGCAAUUUUUAUUUUUUUGACAACUGAUGGCCUAGUUCCUGGAGAGCAUCGGCAGCCGACAGUGACUCUCUACCUGACCGAUGUCCGUGGAAGCAACCACUCUCUUGGAACCUAUGGACUGUCAUGCCAGCAUAACCCACUGAUUAUCAAUGUGACCCAUCACCAGAAUAUCCUUUUCCACCAUACCACCUCAGUGCUGCUGAAUUUCUCAUCCCCACGGGUUGGCAUCUCAGCUGUGGCUCUAAGGACAUUCUCCCACAUUGGUCUUUCGGCUCCCAGUAACUGCAUCUCAGAGGACGAGGGGCAGAAUCAUCAGGGACAGAGCUGUGUCCAUCAGCCCUGUGGGAAGCAGGACAGCUGUCCGUCAUUGCUGCUUGAUCAUGCCGAUGUGGUGAACUGUACCUCUAUAGGCCCAGGUCUCAUGAAGUGUGCUAUCACUUGUCAAAGGGGAUUUGCCCUUCAGGCCAGCGGUGGGCAGUACAUCAGGCCCAUGCAGAAGGAAAUUCUGCUCACAUGUUCUUCUGGGCACUGGGACCAGAAUGUGAGCUGCCUUCCCGUGGACUGUGGUGUUCCUGACCUGUCUUUGGUGAACUAUGCAAACUUCUCCUGCUCAGAGGGAACCAACUUUCUGAAACGCUGCUCAAUCUCUUGUGUCCCACCAGCCAAGCUGCAAGGACUGAGCCCAUGGCUGACAUGUCUUGAAGAUGGUCUCUGGUCUCUCCCUGAAGUCUACUGCAAGUUGGAGUGUGAUGCUCCCCCUGUUAUUCUGAAUGCCAACUUGCUCCUGCCUCACUGCCUCCAGGACAACCACGACGUGGGCACCAUCUGCAAAUAUGAAUGCAAACCAGGGUACUAUGUGGCAGAAAGUGCAGAGGGUAAAGUCAGGAACAAGUUCCUGAAGAUACAAUGCCUGGAAGGUGGAAUCUGGGAGCAAGGCAGUUGCAUUCCUGUGGUGUGUGAGCCACCGCCUCCUGUGUUUGAAGGCAUGUAUGAAUGUACCAAUGGCUUCAACCUGGACAGCCAGUGUGUACUCAACUGUAACCAGGAAAGUGAAAAGCUUCCCAUCCUCUGCACUAAAGAGGGACUGUGGACCCAGGAGUUUAAGUUGUGUGAGAAUCUGCAAGGAGAAUGCCCACCACCCCCCUCAGAGCUGAAUUCCGUGGAGUACAAAUGUGAACAAGGAUAUGGGAUUGGUGCAGUGUGUUCCCCAUUGUGUGUAAUCCCGCCCAGUGACCCCGUGAUGCUGCCUGAGAACAUCACUGCUGACACUCUGGAGCACUGGAUGGAACCUGUCAAAGUUCAGAGCAUUGUGUGCACUGGCAGGCGUCAAUGGCACCCAGACCCCGUCUUAGUCCACUGCAUCCAGUCAUGUGAGGUCAUAAGCCAAUUCUUGCCGCUUAUGUUUCCAUUGUCCCAGCAAGAACACAUGUAUGCUACAUAUCUGCAAUCCAAAAUUGUUUCCUUAAGUCUGAUAUCUGGAAGAGCCUACUGUGAAUGAGCCUAUGACUGGAAGGCCAUGCCAAGCUAUUUUCAUGUGAUAUUUUGGGCCCUUCCAAGCAGAUGGUUGGUGUGACACUAUCAACAACCGAGCCUACUGCCACUAUGAUGGGGGAGACUGCUGCUCUUCCACACUCUCCUCCAAGAAGGUCAUUCCAUUUGCUGCUGACUGUGACCUGGAUGAGUGCACCUGCCGGGACCCCAAGGCAGAAGAAAAUCAGUAACUGUGGGAACAAGCCCCUCCCUCCACUGCCUCAGAGGCAGUAAGAAAGAGAGGCUGACCCAGGAGGAAACAAAGGGUGAAUGAAGAACAGUCAUGAAAUGGAGGAAGGAGGAAGAGCAUGAAGGAUCUUAUAAGAAAUGCCAGAGGAUAUUGAUAGGUGCCAACUAGUUCAUCGAAUAGCCCAAGUAGGAGAGAAUCAUAGGCAAAAGUUUCUUUAAAGUGGCAGUUGAUUAACAUGGAAGGGGACAUACAAUAGAUAUAUAAGGACCCUCCUCCCUCAUUUAUAUUCUAUUAAAUCCUAUCUUCAACUCUUACCCUGCUCCCCACUCUACACCCUGCCAACUAUUCAGUCCCACCCAACUUGCACACCAUUAUCAAAAUACUAGAGGAGAAGUUGGCAGGGAUACUCUGUUAAUGCCCAUUUCGAAUGGAUUGCCAUCUUUCAGAGCUUAUCUGCUCUCAACUGGCUCUUUUCCUUUUUGUGUAGUUGCCCUUACAUAAUGAAGUUAGUUAUUAAUUCUUUAUAAGUAUUUAAACAUAAUUAUAUAAAUAUAUUAUAUAUAUUAUAUUUUUUGCUGUUUACUAAGCUAAAAAUUAUUCAUUGUUCCACACAUGCUGCUGUGAAGUUCACAUUCAAAAUGAAUGCUGAGACUUUGAGGACAGAAAGGCAACUUAUUUUCCCAUCUUUCUAUGGAUGGGGAUUGGCAGGUUGAAUGGGAAGUGCAGAAGGAGAGAGAGUAGUUAAAUGAAAUUCUGGAUGCUAGCAUGUAAAGCUAAUCAUCUUUUGGUUAUGACCUGGGAGCUGGGCCCAUUUUAUGACCAAGGAGAUGGAGAGUUGGAAUGAUGGUACUAAGAGGCGUAAGAAGUUGGGUCUGAGUACCAUUGGUGAUGGGUCCAGGAGAACUAGACUAUGGUUCUUAAAUAUCUGUCCACAAAGAAUAUACUAACUUGUGUCCACUUCUCAGAACUCCCAAUUGGAGUUGGUGAGACCCAGGAUUUUCUGCACUUCCAUACAUGCCUGUUUCAAGUGUGGCUGUCAGCCAGUCAGCAAGUUUGUACUAUGGCCCAUUCUCUGAUCACCAGGAUUACAGGAACUCACAUGCUCCUCACGCUUGGCCUGCAGUCCCACUUCUUGUUAGAAGUCUCCAAGUCUGGCCAUCACUCGCAGUCACAUGACCAAAUGUUGAUUUUUCUGUGGGAAAAAUGUUAUGGAAAUGAUAUAGGGGAAAGGUAGGAGGAGAUGAAAGAACAGGCAAGAACUGUCAGGGUUAAAUCCAGGCCCAGGGAAUGAGAAUGGAAGUGAUCAGGGAAACUCGGUCCUUGUUCCAAGUCUCCAAAGAAGACCAAAGUGGGUCCCUUGAGCAAUGAAGAAUCUGAGAUAAAUUCUCUUGAAGUAUCAUGUACAAAAUCUGUGAGCCGGAGAUUUUGACUUGAGCAAGUUAUAGAAAUGCAUGGAGCAAGGGUGACACUCUGUGGGGAGACAGAAGAAUUUCAGCUAUUUAAGGUCCAUUUUGUUGUUUUUACCCUUUCUUAUCCAAUAGAUGGACUGCACAUGAAAUGACCACAUUAAGCCUCUCUCUAUUUACGUCUCAGGCUCACUGGGAUGUGGUCUAUUGCAGUUACAUUUUCUUGUAACAGUUUCUGGAUUAGACCCUAGGGAAAGAGAGUAAGGAGCCAAUUUCUGUUUAACAGUCUAGUUUUACUCAUUUUAGGAAGGCUGUGAGGCUUGUCUCCCUUGAAGCUUCUUCUCCAGCGGAAACCAAGAACAGACAAAAUUUAGAGCUCAACUGUGGUCUCUUCCCAUCUUCCGCUCUUUUGCUUUGACCACAGUUUUUCUACUCUUCCCAUCAACACUAGAGCAAUGGCUGUGCAAAUAGGAAUAGGAAAUACUACCACAACUAUAGAAAUAUUAUCCACACUAUCACGUAGGGAAGAACAAUACCCUGAAAGGGAGUAAAACACGAAUAAGGCGAUAUACCCACAUUAAUCUGUGGGUUGUGGAAUGAGGGUGGCAAAGUUAUUGGGAAAAGGAAAGAGCAGAGUUCACCCAUUCAAAAAAAACCUUUUGUCCUCUAAUCGCUAGCAUAAAGAAAGUGUCGUUCAGAUACCAUUCGUUGUCUUGACUCAUGCUUAGUGCCUCCAAGAAGACAAACAUAUUUGUUCUUGGGAUUCUGAUAGGCUUCAAUAUGCAAAGGACAAUGGAAAAGUUUAGACACUCUAUUUUCAAAAUUUUAUAAAAUUGUUUUCUUGGGGAAAAUGUCCAAAUUGCUGGACGUGUGCUAAGUUCUGCCUUGGGGAAUCCUACCUUGUCUGAGAUUGAUGCAGAGGAAUCGUUAUCCUGGGCAUUACUCAGCUCAGGAACAUGGAGCCUGUGGUUCAUGCCAGUGUGUGUCUUUAUGCGGUCUCUCCACAAGAGCAACAGUAAGAACAUUUCUGUUUUAAACUUCAUUUUAAAAUAUUUUAUUCUCUGCAAUUCACCACUGCUCUGGGAAGGCAAAAGGGAAGUUCCUGUUGUGUGUGAAGAGCCUCUUAGGCUAUAAGGCUUCCCAGCCAUAGUCAGCUAUAGCUAUUCAGAGACAGCAGGUUCUUCCAGUCUUUGUUCCUGGGACCUGAUGUUUUGAGCAACUCAGGUCACUGAUAAAGUGGAAGGACUAAGACGCUGUGGUCACAGAUCCCAGCAACAUCAACUCACCCUCACUCCAUGUGGUGGUCCAUAUUCUGCUGCUCUUAUCCACCCAUGUGGUCAUUGACAGCCUUCUCAGAGACUCUUCUGUGUGUUUGAUUGUGCCCAGGUGGCCCAGGGCUAGCUGGCUCUGACAACUGGCAUGACAGCGUCCAAUCAGAAAGGCAGCUAAGGGGACAGGGUGAGGAGAAUGGGCAGAUACUGACAGAAAUGAAAGUAAGGGGAUUGUGAAAGUAAAGAGCUCUUCCUGAUUCUCUUCCUCUCUUUUUUCUAUUAUAAGGCAUUGAACUUGGCACUUCCUGUAUUCUUUGUGAUCAUUAUUGAGUGCAUUAGUUAACACCCAAGGGGGUGGCUUGAUUGGGAAUGUAGUGAAAGGAGCUGAUCUACUGUAUUGUAAUGUAAAACAGCUACAGCCAGUUAUUUUGUAAGAUUAUAAGAUGUUCAUUAAAAAAUUAGCACAC